UGGGAUGUGACUUGGUGGUAGAGCGCUUGCCUAGCAUGUAGGAGGCACUGGGUUUGAGUCUCAACACCACAU
rnacentral:tRNA from 1 species